UUAUUGCUUCUUACUGCUCCUUU
rnacentral:siRNA from 1 species